UCCCUCCCUGGAGAAGCAUUUCUCGGUCAGGUUGCAUUUGCACUCGCAGCACUGAACACACUUGACGUGCCAGGCUCGGUCCAGCACGUUGAGCAGGAACCGGUCCAGGAUAGGCCGCUCGCAGCCGGCGCAGUGGACCAUGGCUUCGGCUGGCCUCGCGACAACCCCCCACGAGCAACGCGCGCGCACAAACCCAAUCAGCGGCGCAUUGACCGGGCGCGUGGGUUCUGCCUCAGCUGGUUCCGCCUCCAGCUCCCGGGUCAGUGUUCGCAGACAGGCCGGUCGAUCAGCUGUCAGUCCGGAUCCACAUGAGCAGAAACGGCCUCAGAGCUCGGAACCCCCGCAGGGCAUCAGUCCUUCCGUGGGCCCGGGGCGGAGCAGAGGCAGACCAGGUGCGGAUGAUCGGAGGCGGCUUGUUCUCCCCGGCGGUCGGAGGUGAUGCAUCGGUCAGCACGCAGAGCGCGCGCCGGUCAGCGGCACAGAAGAAAAGCUCUUCAGAUCAAACAUGGCUUCGAUCCAUCCUCAGCAGAAACAAACCAAACAGCCAGAGAAGUUCUCUCCCCUCCGGCGCGGCGCCGGAUCCUGCAGCGGCGCCGGGAUCCCCUCAGUCUCCGGUAGAGUGCGCGUGCCGGGAUGUGACGGGGUCUCCGGUUCACUGUCUUGCUCCUAAAGCUCCAACACCAGCCUUAUUCCCAUCCUCCUGACGUCAGGUGGCGAUCGGACCAAUCAGAGCGGCGCCACGCGAGGAGCCAUCAAAGCUCCCCAUCAAAAGCCAGCCCGCGCGCUGCCCGCUAUUUAUGCCGAACACUCAGGACAGCAAUUGUCAAGAAUUUGCCUCCAAAGUGUCAAAUGUUGGUGUGUCUGCAGGAGGCUGCGGGAGGCUGCGGGAGGCUGCGGGAGGCUGCGGAGCCUUGGAGGAGGAAGAGGAGCAGCUUCAUCCACACUCCUCCACGCGCGCGCUCUGUUUACUUUUUGCAGAAAAUCCGGAAGGCCUCCAACUUCAUGCAGCUCCAGACCUGAACUGUUUGGACUCAUCUCCCAGCAGGAGGCUGCGCACUGCCGGCGGCUUGGAGAGGAAGGCCGCUGCUGCUGCUGCUGCUGAUGAUGAUGGUGAUGAUGAUGAUGGUGAUGGUGAUGAUGAUGAUUGCAUUGAUGAUGAUGUUCCUCGUGCACGGAGGUGGCGCGCGCAUCCCUGCCAUGUUCUCUUGUGGAAGUGAAAGACUGAAAGGCUCGAAUGUUGACAGCUGGUCCAGGAGCUGAAUCCACUCCCACGCGGGAAGAACUCCCACUCUGAGCAGAUAAGUCACCUUAUUGUCUUACAAACAUUUUCUGACAUUUUAUUUGCUCACAGAAAAGAUAAACUGUUGCCAUAAAGUUUAGAGAAAAGACAUAAAAUAUACUGGACCCCCCCAUUUAGAAGAAAACAGAACAUUUGAUCUAAAGCUAAAAGCUGUUAUAGAUGCGCUGAGAGUUAAUCUGGAUAAUCUGCCAGGUCUAUAGAAAUAUUGAAGCAGAUUGACACUACAGGCUCCUCCAGGAAUUCAUGAACCGAACCAGUAAUCCAGCAGCCAGUUGUUACUGGGAACGCUGGCGCAGCCUGUGGGCCCAGUAGCAACAAACCAAACUCUGUUCCUCUGCUUAUCUCACGAUGUUUCCACAGAUUAUGGAAAUCUAUUAAAGGGAGAAAGUCAUAAGAAUUGAAAAGGAUUUUUUCCCUGUCGGAUUAAUUUGUAAGGAGAAAAUCUAAACUUGUUUUUCUAUGUCUUCCGCCUCUGGAUGAAGAUCAGGUGAUUAUGAGGAGGCAGAGGAACCAGAACCCAGCGGGUCAUCAGGCCCUGAUCGCUCCUCACUGCAGCUGCUUCUCUAAAUUAUUCUGACUAGAUUAGGAUUCAUUCAUCUGACUGACAGUAAUGAGCCUCAGCUAACGGUCCGAGCUGCUCCACUUCCGUCCACCCGUGGCUCCGGCAGUGAUCCACACUGAAACACCUGGAGUGUUUGGGGCCCCAGCAGGUGAGGCUCUGACUGGGAGCAGCUUCCUCUGGAUGGAGGCAACGUUUCCUUUAAAGGUGGAAAAUAAAGGAUUCAUGGAAAAACUG